CUUGAGGUAAUUUUAUUCCGUUCCAGAGUUUUGUCAACUGUGUACCAAUAGAUUCACACAGGCGUAUAGUAGCUUUCGUUAACAUCACUCUGAAAGGCGUUGGGCUCGUUAGCUAUAUGCUGACAAAUUAGAUUGAUAGGGGAAAUACAUAUGUUCUCUCACUUUUUCAGUGAAGUGUAUUUACUUAAUGUUAGUGCUAACUGCUAACCUUCAUUCAUGAACGACCACUGCUGCUAAUACCUACUAUUUGAAAAGACCCAGUAAACUAAACUUUUCCCAUGUAGCUGUCAGGGUUUAUCAUAGUAAGGAGCGCUCUAAAGUAUAAAGCUAGAUUGUGACAACAGUUUCUUGUUUUGCAUUUUGCAGUAUGUAAUUGGCAGAUCAGAUGAGGACUUGAAAACACCCUUUGGCAUUAAAAUUCUGGACAAACUAACUCAGACUUGGGUUGUGCCAACAGUAGUUGGGGCUUAGCCUCCAUCCAAGUUGCACAAAGCAAUUCUUGUAAAGGAUGAGAAGAUAUUGGUUGUUGAGAACUGGACAAAAUCCUACAGAAAAAAGAUUGAGGAACCGGAUGUCUUGCAUUUUGCUUGCACUGAAACUGGAGCAGCAAUUUCUGCUCACCAAUUUGUCUUUCCCUUUCCCGCUAGUUGAAUGUAUCAUUUUGUUGUGUGAAUGUUGUGGAGCAGCAAAUAUUCUUAUCAACAUUCUAUGAGGAAACAUCGCAAUGUAACUGAGAUUCCGCAUUGUAUUUUAUUUCAUUGUUUGGAAAUGGGAAAGCUGCAUUGCAUCUGUCUUUCCGUUUCCUGCUAGAAUGUAUGCCCUCCGCUCCUGAAUAUAACACGUUUUGAGAGUUCA